GCUAACGGUAAUAACAUUGGAUGCACCACUUUCUGAUGGAUCACUGAAGUUAAGUAACGUUGCGCGUGGUAAUAAGUAUCCGGAUGGGUGACCAUCUGAACAAUCGCGUGCUGCUGGUU
rnacentral:rRNA from 1 species